UGGAGGAAGUGCAAAUAGGGACGCCUUGCAGGCUCUGUGUGCGGGGGAGGGGGGGAGCCUCCCCAACUCCGCAUCCAGGAUCGCUGAUCUGAGAGACUUGGCACUCUGCUACGUGCUUGACGUGUGCUAUCUCAUUUCACCUUACCGUGACCCUGUGAGGUCCCUUGGAUAUCUUCCCAGAACUCCUGCUCUUUCCCUGGAAAGGAGGAAGUGAAUAAAGAGGUCAGCUUCAGCCUCAGGCCACCUCUACAUGGAAGCAAAAUGGUUGUGACAUACUCAGAAGAGUGAAAGCUGCUGCUCCCCCAGACACCACUUCAAGUCCCAGUCACUCUGGCACACAGUGAGAGAGAGAGAGGCAGAGACACAGGCAGAGGGAGAAACAGGCUCCAUGCACCGGGAGCCCGACGUGGGAUUCGAUCCCGGGUCUCCAGGAUCGCGCCCUGGGCCAAAGGCAGGCGCCAAACCGCUGCGCCACCCAGGGAUCCCAGAAUCUGCAUCUCUAUCAAACUUAUAGGUGAUGCUGAUAUGGCCCUGGUCACAGGAGUGGGGAAGAUGGGCAGAGGGAGAAGGAGAGAGAGAAUCUCAAGCAGCCUCCACACCCAGCAUGGAGCCUGAUGUGGGACUUGAUCUCAAGACCCUCAGGUCAAGACCUGAGUCAAAAUCAAGAGUCAGCCACUUAACGACUGAGCCACCCAGGUCUACUGGUAUCAGCAAGAUAGGGCAAUCCCCACCAAGGACAUUCCACAGGAACCCCGUGUCCACUAUUCUUCUUCUCAAGAAGUCAUAAAAUCUUUGCUUUGGUCCAAGAAAGGAAGGCCUAUACCCAUCUCUCCUCUGGAGCUCUCAGAACAACCACUGACUUCACAUACCUAGUUUCCAUCAGAACUCUUAUUUUGGUGUUUAUGUUACUUCAAGGACAGACUGCAAAUAGGAGAGUUUGGGGAUGUUUACCUAGUUGGCCACCUCCCUAGAACCUCCUUAUUCACAUCACAUAAAGUUUUGAAGUA